CCCUAAGUGGCCUCACGGCAACCUGAAGCUUCCGGCUUCCUUAGAACGCCGGUCUUUUUCUGUCCCUUUGUGACGUCACGGAGAUCGGCCCAAUGCCGGGAGGAAUAGCGAAGGUAGUCCUUGGCUUACAACCACAGCUGAGACCAGAGUUUCGGUGGCUGAGCAAAGCAAUUAUUAAAGUCUCAAUAUUUUUUUUUCUCACGGCAAUCAAAACUGGGUGAACCACUGAACCAUUUCUUUCAAAGAUCCUGGAGCACCAGGGAACUACCAGAUGCCUGGAAAAGAAUUGAAUGGUUCCUAUCUUCAAAACUGGAAAAAAAAAUGGAUCCAGGAAAACACAGACCUGCUGCCAGCUUCUUCAGAACCCUAGGAUGUAAUAUAUCUGGACAUGCUGAUUUCAACUUGUUUAGAGUGGAUAAAUAUUUUCUUACCAUUACUUGCGUAUUUUAAUUUGUAUUCCUAAUCUGUCUUUUAUGGUACUGUUUUUGAGAGGUUGGAUUGUUUUUUCCUUUUAUGUAAAGACAGAUACAAAGAAUGAGUUAAGCAGUUAAGUAGUUCUGUUUAACCAAAAACAGAUAACAAUAAACAAUGUGAUAUACUGUAAAACUAAUUACAUCGUCUAAAAUCAAACAGUAUUGCAAAAGGAAUGCCUUUGGUUGGCCUGAAAAUAUCACUUUGUUGUUCCUUAGCAAGGAUUUUUAUAAAUACAAGUUGGGCAUAAGAAGGGCAUGACAACUGAGAAGGCUCUAGUCUAUGGCCAUUCCUCUAUAUUCGGGUAACAUAUUUCAGUAACAUACUGUACUGUAGUAAGGAUAGUUGGCAAAGAUGAUUUAGGUGUCCAGGCAGAUAUAUCUGGGAAGAGAUACUCUUUUAGAAAUUCUGAUUGUAACUAUUGAAUCUUGAAAUAGGCUGAAUGUCUAUGUGACAAAACACAAAAAAAUGCCAUCAUAUGAUUAUAUGAACCUGUUUUAGUUGGUAUUAUAACAGUUUGAUUUUGGAUUGAAUUUUUCAUAUGAUUUAGAAAUGUAGUUCUGCAUAAAUACAUAAUAAUAACACAAUUAGUAUAUUAUCAGAGCUUUCAUAACUGAUGCCAGAUGGCUGUAUCUAGGCAACAUUACAGCUGGUAUAAUGAACUAAUUAUAUUAUUCUACUGACCCAUAAUAUACUCAAGGUAUUUCCAAGUUUCCCACAAAUUCUGUCUCCAUGUUUACUUACACACUCAUAAUUAAUAAAGUGUUUAUUUCAAGUAUAAAAAUAGAAUAUAAAGAGACAUUUACACUAUCAUAAUAUAUGCUCAAUUUAAUUGUCUGGUUAUACCGGAGAUAAACCAACCUUGCACAAGAGUGGGCUAUUUCCUAGAAGGGAAAGCAAGGGAUGGAUCUUUUGUCAUUGUGGCUCUGCACAAUGUCAUCAAAAGUCAUUUUUUUCAUAUUUUUUUUACAUUUUGACCUUUUAAGCAGGAAUAGGAGAUAGAUGUCAAAUAUGUGCCUCUGAAGAUAGUGACAGCAGGAAUGAUUAAGCCAUGAUUCCAAAGCAGAGGGCAGGACCAAGAUUGAAAUCUUCUAGAAAGAUGAGAGUUGGCAACUCUGCAUAGGAGCCUCAGCUAUUCACUACACCACAAAACUUCAAGUUAAGGAGACUAACACAGAAUACCUACAAAUAUUUCAAUACUCAUUUUUGUUUGCUUUGGUGCCUUCAAACCAAUUUUGUCUCAUGGCGACUGCCUAGACAAGUCUUCUGAUGUUUUCUUGGCAAGAUUUCAGGAGUGGUUUGCCAUUGCCUCUUUUCUAGGGCUGAGUGUGUGUGACUGGGCCAAGGUCAUCCAGCUGGUUUGGUGCCUCAGGUGGGACUAGAGCUCACAGUCUCUUGGUUUCUAGCCUGGUGCUUUAACCAUUACCCCAAACUGGUUUUCUGAUAACACCCUUCAUUUGGAAGCAACUGUUUGUUAUUUUAUUAAAUUAUAAUCUAAGAAAUUGUGUAGUAGUUUACCUUUAUUAAUACAUUGCCAUCCACAUUAGUACAAGUUGUACUGCGAUUAAUAAUUUUCAAAAUCCCUUGGGACUUUCCGGUUCGUCAGUUAAAACUUGUUUUACAUAUAAGAAAUAAAAAGGCACUUUUGACAAAAGACAAAUGAAAAUUAAGGCUCAUAAGCAGAAAUCUUAAAUAAGAUUACUUCCUCUUAACAGAAAGAUACAUAGCAUAAUCAAAACUACACAGUACUGUAUGUUCAUAAUUUUAUUUGCAUCACAUUUUCAAUGUUUUUAUUUUUUAUCAGAAGUACAGUGGUGGCCAAAAUUGUGGAAAUCUUUUGGGAAAAGUGUAUUUUUGAAGUUUGAUAGCUAAUAACACCACUUUUUUUUUGGAGUAGCACCA